rnacentral:rRNA from 1 species
CGCCUCUUGCCAUACCCAUAUAAGAGGUCGUACCUGCCCAAUGAUACACAUUUAAUGGCCGCGGUAUUCUGACCGUGCAAAGGUAGCGUAAUCACUUGUCCUUUAAAUGAGGACCCGUAUGAAUGGUUUGACGAGGGCUUAACUGUCUCCUCUCCUAAAUCAAUGAAAUUGAUCUCUUCGUGCAAAAGCGAAGAUAAAAACAUAAGACGAGAAGACCCUGUGGAGCUUAAGAUAAAAAUAUAGACUUAGACCAGAGACUUUAAAAAUAAAUAAAGCCAAAAACUUUUAUAUAAUAUCUUCAGUUGGGGCGACUACGGAGAAUAAAAAACCUCCGCGAAGACAAGAACAUAAAUUCCCAAAACUUAGAAACACCCUUCAACCCAAUAGAAUUUCUAACUUUUAUUGAUCCAACCUGUUGAUCAACGGAAAAAGUUACCCCAGGGAUAACAGCGCAAUCCCCUUUCAGAGUCCCUAUCGACAAGGGGGUUUACGACCUCGAUGUUGGACCAGGACAUCCUAAUGGUGCAGCCGCUAUUAAGGGUUCGUUUGUUCAACGAUUAAAGUCCU